AUUGAACGCUGGCGGCACGCCUAACACAUGCAAGUCGAGCGGAUGAAAGGGGCUUGCUCCUGGAUUCAGCGGCGGACGGGUGAGUAAUGCGCAGGAAUCUACCUAGUAGUGGGGGAUAACGUUUCGAAAGGAACGCUAAUACCGCAUACGUUCUGAGGAAGAAAGCAGGGGAUCGUAAGACCUUGCGCUAUUAGAUGAGCUUGCGUCCGAUUAGCUAGUUGGUGGGGUAAAGGCCUACCAAGGCGACGAUCGGUAACUGGUCUGAGAGGAUGAUCAGUCACACUGGAACUGAGACACGGUCCAGACUCCUACGGGAGGCAGCAGUGGGGAAUAUUGGACAAUGGGGGCAACCCUGAUCCAGCCAUGCCGCGUGUGUGAAGAAGGCC
rnacentral:rRNA from 1 species